GCAUUGGUGGUUCAGUGGUAGAAUUCUCGCCUUGCAUGCGGGAGACCUGGGUUCAAUUCCCACCCAUUGCC
rnacentral:tRNA from 1 species